UUCAAACCCAUUGGGAUUCAAACUGAAGUAAAGAAGAAGAAACAAAUUCUAGAGUGUAGCUGAAACCUGGAUAACUACUGUCCAUAAAUAUUCAACUACAUAUAAUAAGUCAUACAGAAACACAUAGUUUUAUAAGCCACUUGAAACGAAAAUGUUUUCUUAGGAUUGUGCUUUUAAAUGAAGAACCAUUCAUUUAUAUGAAACUUUGGACAAAGUUGUGAAACUAAUCAUACAGGAAUGAAGCUUUAGACAAAAGUUGUGAAACUAACCAGAAAUGUAAAGUCUAGCAAGCUAUAAAUAUAAAUGUGUUAAGUAUUGAGUGUGUCCAGACAAGAUUUCAUCCUUUUCUGCUUUGGUACACUAUAAGAAUAACUUCAACCUCCCUUUGAAAACUAAUAAUUAUGAGUAUCUGGAGAUCAAAGCAGUAGAGUGGAUCUGAGAUUUAAUGGGUCAACAAUUGUAACAUGACAAGAAAAGUAUAUUAUUUCAAUCUAGAUGAGCCUGUAAACAUAUGUAUUCAUAUUAUUUCAAUCUAGAUGAGCCUGUAAACAUAUGUAUUCAUUGCACUUCAGAAACAAGAAAAACACAAGAGAAGUAAAUAGAAAACAUUUCAGUAGUUCAACUGUACAUUUUUGGCCUAUUUACAAAGCAUAAACAAAAUAUUAACAUUGCUUAAAAAGUUAUAGUUUGAAGAAGAACAACAUGCCAAAGUAGAUCAUUUAAAUAAGAGAAAACUGACUUGCAGUAUUUGAAGUGUAAACCAAGAAAAACACAAUCUCACACUAAAUCUGUCUGAUUGGGGAAAACAGAAUUUUCAGAUAUUUAAUGUAUAAGUCAAUGAAGUAUUUGAAGCUGGACAAAGAUACUUGAAAAACUAUGAAAUGAAAUAAUUCAGAGACUGGCUAUGUACACAUUGCAGGAAGUUUUGUUUAUGGUGCUAUACAUGAUGGCACUUAAUGUUUCAAGAAACAGACCUUGAUAUAACAAAACCUUUGCUAAUAAGUAGCCCUUUCUUUUUUUUAUCCCAUGGAAGUUUGUAUAUGUAUAGGUUAUGUAUUUUUUUAUCUAAAAAUAUUUAAAUUAUGAACAAAAUAUUUAAUUUUAAUCUGAAACCAUGGCCCUGGCGUUGAAAGGGUUAGUUCAGACAUGUUGGCCACAGAAACAAGUUACCUUACCAGCCUCAAGAAGUUAUCACUAUAAAACCAACAGCUACAUAAAAAGAAAAUAUUAUGUAAGUAAAGAAUGUAAGUUUAUUUUUCAGUUAAUACAUUAAUGUGUAUAUUAAGAGACUUUAUUAUCACUCAGCUUUUCAAUGUAAGUUUGUCAGAAACAAAAACAACAAUUCAUAAACAUGAGAAGAACAAUCUCUCUUCAAAAUAUGCUCCGCUGGACAUCAUUCCUACAUUAAAUACAGUGACACAAAUAGUUAAGAAUGCUGAGUGUUAAGUGUUUCUGGGUUAUGUCAUAUCACUAACAUCAACACAGGAGAACUGACAGGAUCCUUUCAAUGAACACUAAUAUCAAAACAUGUGUAUCUUUAGUCCACAUAUAACAAUAUCAACAUAGUUUUAACCAAAACAAUCACCAUCACUGUCUGUGCCUAUCCCAUCAGAAAACAACAACAAAAAAAAAAAAAAAAAAAAAAA